rnacentral:rRNA from 1 species
GAUGAACGCUAGCUACAGGCUUAACACAUGCAAGUCGAGGGGCAGCAUGAACUUAGCUUGCUAAGUUUGAUGGCGACCGGCGCACGGGUGAGUAACGCGUAUCCAACCUGCCCUUGUCCACCGGAUAACCCGUCGAAAGGCGGACUAACACGGUAGGCAGUCCACAGCAGGCAUCUAACGUGGACGAAAUGAAAAGGAGAAGGAGGGGGAUGCGUCUGAUUAGCUUGUUGGCGGGGUAACGGCCCACCAAGGCGACGAUCAGUAGGGGUUCUGAGAGGAAGGUCCCCCACAUUGGAACUGAGACACGGUCCAAACUCCUACGGGAGGCAGCAGUGAGGAAUAUUGGUCAAUGGACGGAAGUCUGAACCAGCCAAGUAGCGUGCAGGAUGACGGCCCUAUGGGUUGUAAACUGCUUUUAUAUGGGGAUAAAGUGAGCCACGUGUGGCUUAUUGCAGGUACCAUAUGAAUAAGGACCGGCUAAUUCCGUGCCAGCCGCCGCCGUAA